GCGGACUCAUCAUUCCAGCCAAUCAGCAGCAGACCCUCCCUCCCAGACCCUCCCACCUCCUGGACAGCAUCCAUUUUGAAGCUGCAUUUUUAGUGAGCUGUCUAGGAGAUGGGAGGGUCUAGGAGGGAGGGUCUGCUGCUGAUUGGCUGGAAUGAUGAGUCCG